rnacentral:rRNA from 1 species
GGGGAAUAUUGGUCAAUGGGCGGAAGCCUGAACCAGCCAAGUAGCGUGCAGGAAGACGGCCCUAUGGGUUGUAAACUGCUUUUAUACGAGAAUAAUUUGAUGCACGUGUGCGUUAUUGCAUGUAUCGUAUGAAUAAGGACCGGCUAAUUCCGUGCCAGCAGCCGCGGUAAUACGGAAGGUCCAGGCGUUAUCCGGAUUUAUUGGGUUUAAAGGGUGCGUAGGCGGCCUGUUAAGUCAGCGGUGAAAUCUAGGAGCUUAACUCCUAAAUUGCCAUUGAUACUGGCGGGCUUGAGUGUAGAUGAGGUAGGCGGAAUGCGUGGUGUAGCGGUGGAAUGCAUAGAUAUCACGCAGAACUCCGAUUGCGAAGGCAGCUUACUAAGGUACAACUGACGCUGAAGCACGAAAGCGUGGGUAUCAAACAGGAUUAGAUACCCUGGUAGUCCACGCAGUAAACGAUGAUAACUGGGCGUAUGCGAUAUACAGUAUGCUCCUAAGCGAAAGCGUUAAGUUAUCCACCUGGGGAGUACGCCGGCAACGGUG